GUGAGGCACAUCUGAGCCUCUGAGCGGUGAGGAGACGGCGGAUUGCCGA
rnacentral:snoRNA from 1 species